UACGGGGGGGGCAAGCGUUGUUCGGAAUUACUGGGCGUAAAGGGCGCGUAGGCGGCCGCCUAAGUCAGACGUGAAAUCCCUCGGCUCAACCGGGGAACUGCGUCUGAUACUGGGUGGCUUGAAUCCGGGAGAGGGAUGCGGAAUUCCAGGUGUAGCGGUGAAAUGCGUAGAUAUCUGGAGGAACACCGGUGGCGAAGGCGGCAUCCUGGACCGGCAUUGACGCUGAGGAGCGAAAGCAUGGGGAGCGAACGAGG
rnacentral:rRNA from 1 species